rnacentral:rRNA from 1 species
GCCAGCCCGCUCAGAAACUCAAAGGAAGUUGACGGGGGCCCGGCACAAGCGGUGGAGCAUGUGGUUAAUUUCGAUGAUACGCGAGGAACUUACCUGGGCUCAAAUGUAUGUUGACGUAUUCUGAAAGGGAUACUUCUUCGGACAAUAUACGAGGUGCUGCAUGGUUGUCGUCAGCUCGUGCCGUGAGGUGUCGGGUUAAGUCCCAUAACGAGCGCAACCCUACCUUUAGUUGCCAUCAGGUAAUGCUGGGGACUCUAAAGGAACUGCCUACGCAAGUAGUGAGGAAGGCGGGGAUGACGUCAAAUCAGCACGGCCCUUACGUCCAGGGCUACACACGUGCUACAAUGGCCGAUACAGAGGGCAGCUACCUGGUGACAGGAUGCAAAUCUCCAAAGUCGGUCUCAGUUCGGAUCGGAGUCUGCAACCCGACUCCGUGAAGUUGGAUUCGCUAGUAAUCGCGCAUCAGCCAUGGCGCGGUGAAUACGUUCCCGGGCCUU